rnacentral:rRNA from 1 species
GACGAACGCUGGCGGCGCGCCUAACACAUGCAAGUCGAGCGAGAACCGGGGCUUCGGCCCCGGGGACAGCGGCGAACGGGUGAGUAACACGUGGGUAACCUGUCCUCGGCACCGGGAUAGCGCGGGGAAACCCGGAUUAAUACCGGACGGCCUCCGGAGCCUGCGGGCGACGGAGAAAAGGUGGCUUCGGCUUUCGGCCGAGGAGGGGCCUGCGGCGGAUUAGCUUGUUGGCGGGGUAACGGCCCACCAAGGCGACAAUCCGUAGCUGGUCUGAGAGGACGAUCAGCCACACUGGGACUGAGACACGGCCCAGACUCCUACGGGAGGCAGCAGUGGGGAAUCUUGCGCAAUGGGCGAAAGCCUGACGCAGCGACGCCGCGUGCGGGAAGAAGGCCUUCGGGUUGUAAACCGCUUUCAGGAGGGACGAAGCCACUCGGGUGAAUAGCCCAGAGGGUGACGGUACCUCCAGAAGAAGCCCCGGCUAACUACGUGCCAGCCGCCGCAGUAACAC